ACACUAACAACCAGGUAAUUAUUAUGUAACUACUAGAUGAAAUGACCUAAGACAUUUGACUAUGUGUGUCUUUAAUAUAAGCAGGGUGACGUGGGUCAUUGGAAGCUCUGUGAUGCAACCUCACAUCAUGAUCAAAGACGCUUCUAAUAGGCCCCUAUUGUUUCCCGGAUAUUCACACUUAAAAACUGUACAUGAUGAUGCCUACCUUCCCCUCAGUCUUUUAUAGUGUCAGAUAGGCCUAGAGAAUCACAAAAGGCUACAAGUCACAUCAUGGGUCCCAUCUUUCGUAUGAUAUGUGAGUAUCUUUACAAAUACAGAUUAGAGUAAGCAUAUGGUCUCAAAAUGAUCCGUACAUACAGUACGUACUCAGUAUGCAGUCAAUCUACUACUAAUAGUUGUAUGUUUUAUGGAUUUCUAUUGAAACUGCCUGUUGUGUAAAUCUCCCAUUAUUUCUACACAGUCACAGUAACAGCAGGUGUACUGGCCAUCUCAGAGGAAAUAGCUGUCUACCCCGCCAUGCUUUUUGGAUCAAAGGCUCAAGUUAGAAAGGGAGACACUAUAGAUUUGAAGUGUAAUAUCUCUGGCAUCAUAAGAUUCUGGGACAAGGUUCAUGUGUACAUUUACAAGAAUGGAGUUGAGAUGGCAAUGAAGGUUUUGGAGAAAGGUGAAGAUGACGCUAUUUUCACCAUGAAGGAUGUUACAAGAGAAGACUCAGGCAACUACAGCUGUGUGUACACCAGAGAUAAACUUCUACUGGAUCAAGUGAAAUCAGCAGGCAAGAAUUUAGUAGCCAUCUGUGUCUAUGAAGAGGCUGCACAUGAUGUGAUACUGGUCAAUGUAAUCCGACUGAUAAGUUCAGCUGUUGUGGUCAUACUUCUGCUGACUGUAGUGGCUGUUAGUUCAUGCUGUUCAAAAAGAGGAGCUUUACAAUGUUAUUGUGGAAGAACACCACAACAGGAGGAGAACGAUGUGCCAAUGACAGAGGAGGGUGACGGUAUGUUUUUUAAGCUUUCCGCUAAAACUAUUGUUCUAUUAAUGAACCUUUAUUUCACAUUCUGGGAUAUUUCUUUGUCUUAGACGGAACUUCAAACAUGGAGGAAGAAUCCAGUGAUGAAUUUGCUUAUGAAAGUGUUGCAGGUAAGACCAAAAACAAAUGUGGGAUAAUGUUUAGCUGUAAGUGUGUUUUAAAAUACUGACCAGGCUGAUACUAAGUAAAUGGUCAUUAAAUUAGUUUGUUAAAAGUUUAGUUUUUUCCAUUUGAUGUGAGGUUGGACUUAAGCACAUAUAGCUUGUUAGCAUGUAGGGCCCACCGAUUGCUGCCACCUCGUUAUUUAGUUUGGGCUCCCGAGUGGCACAGCAGUCUACGGCACUGCAUCUCAGUGCUAGAGGCGUCACUACAGACCCUGGUUUGAUUCCAGGCUGUAUCACAACUGGCUGUGAUUGGGAGUCCCAUAGGGCAGCGCACAAUUGUCCCAGCGUCAUCUGGGUUAGGGUUUGCCGCCAUUGUAAAUAAGAAUUUGUUCUUAACUGACCUGCCUAUUUAAAUAAAGGUUAAAUAAAAAAAUUAAAAAGUAUGUGUUACACCUGUGCUGGUUGCCAUCUCGUUCGUGGGAAGGUGUUUCACCUGGUGCUAUUUAAGAGUGGCUGACCCAGUGCUCUAGUUGUCUUGAGAGAUGUGAAGGGUUAGCACCUUUAGUUGGCUCUCCCUAGUUUGAUUUCUAGACAAACCAUCCUUUAUCCCUGUUUUUGUUUCACUCCACUUUUUGGUUGGCUCCCUGUUUGGUGUGGGUUUUUCUUUUGUUUGCCUCUUCUUGGGCAAAUUUAGUGGGCAUUCAUGGUGGCUGUCUUUUAGAUUCCCAUUGUUGCUAGUCAACUUUCAGUGGACACACCCGUGUGUCUUUCAGAACCCCUCUUAAAACCCCACCUGUUUCAUUUACAUUGUUGGUCAGGGACAUUUUAGAUUUUCUUGCUAGGGAACUUAACAAGUUUCAUUGCCUUGCUUUAAAACAGUCUACAUUUCUUAUUGUGAUCAUUUUCAUCUUAGCCACCAAACAGGUGGGGUGGUGUACCAGAAUGUGUAUGAGAACUGCUUAGAUAAUAUGAUGCAUAAAAAUGUACUCAUUACGAUGUUAAUAAUAAUAAUAUGUUUUUUCAUUCUUACAUUUGCAAUACUGGGUAAAUUAAAAACUUG
rnacentral:lncRNA from 1 species